rnacentral:lncRNA from 1 species
GUUCAACCAGAAGCAGGGACCAAGGGGAAAACCCUAACUUACAGAAAUUCUCAAGAUUAGCAAGAAAUUAAGAGCCCAAACCAAUGCAUGAACUCGAAUUUUCAACCAUCUAAGCUUGUUCAUCUGAAGGCGUGAAGGAAGAAAGCACGAACACUAGUAAAGCGGAAGGCGUGCAAGAUCGAGGUAAAUCCUCAAUCUAGGCGACUUGGCGAAUCGGAGCGAGCACGUGAUCAUAAUAUGUCAUACCAAGCGCUUCCGCUAGCUUGCAUUAAUGUUUUGGGUUAAAUAUAUGUAAUUUGGCUUUGUCUUGUUAGUAGUCAUACUUUUCAAAACUUGAUGUUAUGGGUUCUAGUCGUGUCUAGUCGAAUGGGUCAUAAACAUUAUCGUUAGAAAUUGUACAAAGCAGGGGUACGCUCGUCUUACGGACGGGUCAUGCCCAAAUUUUGU